AUUGAACGCCGGCGGCAUGCUUUACACAUGCAAGUCGAACGGUAACAGGUUAAGCUGACGAGUGGCGAACGGGUGAGUAAUGCAUCGGAACGUGCCCGGUCGUGGGGGAUAACGCAGCGAAAGCUGCGCUAAUACCGCAUACGAUCUGAGGAUGAAAGCGGGGGACCGUAAGGCCUCGCGCGAUCGGAGCGGCCGAUGUCAGAUUAGGUAGUUGGUGGGGUAAAGGCUCACCAAGCCAACGAUCUGUAGCUGGUCUGAGAGGACGACCAGCCACACUGGGACUGAGACACGGCCCAGACUCCUACGGGAGGCAGCAGUGGGGAAUUUUGGACAAUGGGCGAAAGCCUGGUCCAGCAAUGCCGCGUGCAGGAAGAAGGCCUUCGGGUUGUAAACUGCUUUUGUACGGAGCGAAAAGGUCUCCUCUAAUACAGGGGGCUCAUGACGGUACCGUAAGAAUAAGCACCGGCUAACUACGUGCCAGCCGCCGCCGUAAGAC
rnacentral:rRNA from 1 species